UCCGGCACACAAAGAGGUUCC
rnacentral:misc_RNA from 1 species